ACACGCUGGUGAAGGAAGCUUCUGUAGAAGAGAGAUCAGCAUGGCAAGGGCCUGAAGAUGCUUCUGAACUGAGGUCCUGCAUCCAACAACCCUCAAAGAACUAAACGCUGCCGACAACCUCACGAGCUGAGGAACGGAUACUUCUCCAGCUUACCCUUGGAGCUGAAAUGGGAAAGAAGGGCCCGAUGCUCCCUAAGAGAAGUAGAAAAGUACCCUAUUUGUGGUGGAGAUGUGUGCUUAUGAAACCCCAACAUCAC
rnacentral:lncRNA from 1 species